rnacentral:rRNA from 1 species
AUGUGAUCGUCUCUCGCAUAUCAAUAAGCGGAGGAAAAGAAACUAACAAGGAUUCCCCUAGUAACGGCGAGUGAAGCGGGAAGAGCUCAAAUUUGAAAUCUUAAAGGGUUUCCCUUUACGAAUUGUAGUUUAAAGAAGUGUUUUCUGUUGAGGUUUUGGUAAAAGUUCUUUGGAAUAGGACAUCAUAGAGGGUGAGAAUCCCGUAUUUGACCUUUACUUUCAACUUUGUGAUACACUUUCAAAGAGUCGGAUUGUUUGGGGAAUGCAGUCCAAAAUGGGUGGUAAAUUUCAUCUAAAGCUAAAUAUUGGCGAGAGACCGAUAGCGAACAAGUACCGUGAGGGAAAGAUGAAAAGAACUUUGAAAAGAGAGUUAAACAGUACGUGAAAUUGUCAAAAGGGAAGCGUUUGACACCAGUGUUGUUUUUCUGAAAAUCAAUUAAAGAACUGUUUAUGCUAAGCUGUUUAGACUUUAUCAGCUAAUCUGUUUAGUUUUGAGCUUUUCUUUAAUGCACUUUUCAGUUAACAAGUCAACAUCAAUUUCUUUUGCUGUAAAAAAGCUUGAGGAAGGUGGCUUGAGAUUCGUCUUAAGUGUUUAUAGCCUCUUGCCUAUGCAGUCGGAGAGAUUGAGGUCUGCAGCGUAGAUCCUUCGGGGCUAAAUGCAUUUGUGCUAAGUUAUAGCAUUUUAUAGACAACUUGUUGACUAUGAUUUGUCUUGUAGCUUACUCGCUUAUGUUAUUUUACCUACGCUUAGGAUGUUGAACGCGCACAGAGUCUC